rnacentral:rRNA from 1 species
UACAGAGGUCUCAAGCGUUGUUCGGAUUCAUUGGGCGUAAAGGGUGCGUAGGCGGAAUGUUUAGUCAGGGGUGAAAUCCCGGGGCUCAACCCCGGAACUGCCUUUGAUACUGGCAUUCUCGAGUCCGGAAGAGGUGAGUGGAAUUCCGAGUGUAGAGGUGAAAUUCGUAGAUAUUCGGAGGAACACCAGUGGCGAAGGCGGCUCACUGGUCCGGUACUGACGCUGAGGUGCGAAAGCGUGGGGAGCAAACAGG